rnacentral:lncRNA from 1 species
UUGGACCAAAAUAUUACCACAUCUAGGACUUAUAAAUACCAGCUCUUCCUCUCCAUGUCUCUCUCAAACUGAAACCCACUUCCCUUGCAACGUUAACAUUGUCAAUUUGGGAGAUUUCGAUCCAAACAUGUCCAACUUGAAGUGUUUAGCCCUUUUGGGCUUGCUUGUUUCGAGCUUAUUUGUGGGGAGCACCGAGAGCCGGCCCGCAAGGAAAGACUUGGGUUUGGACCUUGGUGGGAUAGGACUUGGAGUUGGAGUUGGGUUAGGGAUUGGCCUCGGUGGUAGUGGGUCGGGUUCUGGAGCUGGAGCCGGAUCGAGUGGUGGGUCCUCGUCAAGUUCGAGCAGCUCAUCUUCAUCGUCUAGUUCUGGAUCUGGUGGUGGUGGUUCAGGUGCUGGAUCUGAGGCCGGUUCGUCUGCAGGAUCCAGAGCAGGUUCUGGAGGUGGAGGUGGUGGUGGCGGUGGAGAAGGAUAUGGGGGCGGUGGUGGGUCUGGUCGUGGGUCUGGAUAUGGAGAAGGAUCUGGGUCGGGUAAUGGUCAUGGGAGAUGAAUAAUAAUACUAUGACACGAAAAGCAAUGAAUAUGAAUAAAAAAAAUGUUAACAAGAAAUGUUGUGAGGGAGUCUAAUUAUGUAAGAUGUGUUAUCUAGCACUUUGUUUUCCCAAUAACUUGUGUCAAAAUGUUGUUGUUAGUACUUUUGAUGUUUUGUUCCUUUCUAAUGAAAUAUGUUAUCUGUAGCAUGUUUGUCUUUGUAAUGCCAUCCCUCACUUUAAUGGAACAAAUGGAUCUUUGUUUGGCUGUCUUAAACCUUUGUCUUAGGGUUCCAUGGCGAAUGAUUAUGCAGUGUUAUUUGCAAUGUAAGGGUUCGGUCGCAUUACAUCGUAAUUUUUUUUAUUGAAUAUAUUUCUNNNNNNNNNNNNNNNNNNNNNNNNNNNNNNNNNNNNNNNNNNNNNNNNNNNUUUGAAAACCUCCCAAUUAAUUAAUGACGAUUUUGGAUUAGACUUCAAAUCGCUAUAGACCCACCGGUGAUGAUUUGAAAUCCAUUCUCACACUAACAAAUAAAAUAAGAGAUAAUCAUGUAAACCCAUUACAAAUUACCCACCAAAUCAAAUAACUAGUUAUAGAAAAACAAUAACUAUUAGUUACAAAUAAAUGUGUUUAGUAUCUACACAAUGUAAAUAGUUAUACUAGUUACAAAUCGUUAUAACUAGUUAAGAAAUUUAUUUGAAUCCUGUUCGGAGUCUUACCAAUGAUUAUACACUAAGUUUGCUAGCAUACAUAGCAUGACCAUCCAUGUUCUCUACCGGUUUCGAUAUCUUUUUUACCUAAUAAUUUAAUUUGGUCUUCUUAAUUAUAUAUAUCUGCUGUUUUUAUAAUAACAUAACGUUACUCCACUCCAUGUACCUAUCAUCACUCAUCUCCUUCCAUAAUUACAAAAUAAAAAUUAAAUUAUAAAAUUAUUGAUUUGGGUUCCACUACUCCAAGUUCAUGAAGCUUCCAUACAUUACAACUGGACUAACAAAUGGGUGACGGGAGUAGACAACUCUUUUAUCCUUUUUAAGGUAGUCUGAAAUAUUAAUUAUGAAAAUCGAAACAAACAUCGUUCAAUCUAUUAAAUAAAAAGUAUGGAUGAGUAUCUCUUUAUUAGUGAGUGACUCGAAAACUUUAAUUGUUGUGCAAGCACAUGAACAACCUUGUUAUUAUCUCUCCUCACAAAGCUAACCGUAAGAUUCGGUUUUGAAUCUAGAAUGACUCGGCAUCUUCGUAUAAUAUCGCCAAACUCUAUACGGUACUCAAACUGUCUGAUUCAUCGCGUAAACCACCACAUGUGCGUCUGCUUCAAUGACCACUCGAUCCAAUUGCAGCUCCACACACCAUUUUAAGCCCUCCCACAUAUGCAGUGCGUCCAUGGCCGCCGCCACCGUCCNNNNNNNNNNNNNNNNNNNNNNNNNNNNNNNNNNNNNNNNNNNNNNNNNNNNNNNNNNNNNNNNNNNNNNNNNNNNNNNNNNNNNNNNNNNNNNNNNNNNNNNNNNNNNNNNNNNNNNNNNNNNNNNNNNNNNNNNNNNNNNNNNNNNNNNNNNNNNNNNNNNNNNNNNNNNNNNNNNNNNNNNNNNNNNNNNNNNNNNNNNNNNNNNNNNNNNNNNNNNNNNNNNNNNNNNNNNNNNNNNNNNNNNNNNCCCCCCCCCCGGCCGUUUGAAGCUAUGGUUUCAACGGCGACGUCCACCACCUGUUUCGCAAUAUGUUGAUGAUGACUUCCACACCCUCUCAUUACCUCCACGCCACAACGCCCAAAUGAUGGCGAUCAUUUAUUUACAUUGCACUUCGCUCGCCUGCUUCAAAAUCAACAUGAUCCAUUCGGCGAGUGAUUCACAACGGUCCCUAGUUUGCUCAACUAUUGUCGCCAUAGCUUCCUUCCAACGUUCCCACGCAAAGCCGCACUCCAAGAACAAAUGCCAUCCGUUCUCUACCUCCAUCAUACACGUCCCACACUCCCAAGGCACUACAACAUGCUUUUCCUGAAGACUAGACCUCGUCGGGAGCACUCCUCUACUCGCACGCCACGCAAAGUGUUUAAGUUUGGGAGUAUAAAGAAUUGAUCUCUCCAAAGGGAAUUAGUAUUCCUCUCGACUGGGAGUUAGGGUUUUCUGUAAUAAAAUUUCUCGACAAGGGUUUUUCUUCCCCGAUUUCCACACUCGACCAAUCAUUCCUCUAUGGUGACCAGGGGCACGUGACUCAACUCUCUAAGCACCAGAAUGAAGAACAAUUGAAGAUACUACCUUCCCUUAGCAUGUUCCCAUAAAGGAGCUGUUUUAUGGCACCAAGUUUGAUAGGUUUCCUUCAGUUUUAUUUUGAGAUAGGGUCUUUUGCCAUGUACUUUAGUUUCCAGUUUCUUUGUUUGUUUUUGUGCUUUCGCUAUGAGUUAUGAUUUGAUUGAAUUGUCUUGAUGGUUUGCGUAAGGAGUAGGGGUGUUUUGAUUAUCAAAGGAAUUGAGUCUAUGUAGUUUUGUUUGUAAGGUAUACACCUCCUGUCAGUGUUUGGCAUGAGCGAUAUGAUCGAACAAAUUUUGAUGAAUGAAAUGGGCAUAUUUUAAGUUAAAAAAGAUUACAAUAUAAAUCUCGUCUUAUUUCCUCGCCUACUCUAGGGAUGACUCCUCCGAGAGGAUUAAGCAUUCUGUUAUUGAUUUGUGCUACGGUUUUAGGUUAGCUAAGUAAUUAAUUUGCAGUCGGAUUGCCUUCCCGACAAAGAUGCUCAGCCUUGAUCAACCAGUCUCAAUUCAAGGUGGAGCAUAGUUGGUUGCGUUGUGUACUGCCAACCUGGAACGUUCUGAAUUCCAAUCAAUCAUACCCCACAUAUUGACACCAGACAUUUUUUCCGUUUCCUAUCUCUUGUCAUGUCAUGUUUUCUAGGUCUAUUUUUGACAAAAAAACUUAUCUCAAUCAGACAAUCAUAAAAACUAGCGACCUCAGAAAAGUGUUGGUGCGUUCUCAACCUCCACUGGUAAUAAAUAAAUAGCAUCAAGUGAAUCCAACUACACACAUACUUUCUGGAAGAUACACCGGUACAAGCUCGUUUCCUGACUCAUUUCAUCCGUGUUACGAUUGCGUGCAUCACUACUUCUACCACUCAAGUUCAGUGGAAUGGAGCUUUGACAGAUUCUUUCAAACCAGGACGCGGAUUAAGGUAGGGAUGUCCUCUUUCUCCCUAUCUUUUCACUUUUUGUAUUGAACGGCUUUGUCAUACGAUUAUAUCUUGCCUUGAUGAUGGUAGUUGGAGCCCUAUUUUCCUUAGUCGUAAUGGUCCUCUUCUCUCUCACCUCUUUUUUGCUGAUGACUCAAAUCACUAUAUGUGUAUAUGUCAAUUUUCAUCAAUCUUCAUAAAGAAAUAAAAAAGAUUCUACUUUGAAAUUGCAAAUCUUCAACACUCAUAAAUCUUGCUGGUCAUAUAAGACUUGCUAUAUUUAUCCUAUAAUUCACAUGAUUAUAUUCUAGCCCUACUCAAAUGAUAUAAACUUAAAUCAUAUAUAAUGUUUUUCAAGAACAUAAAAUCUCAUGUUAUUUUAUUUGAGAAAGUGAAGACAUAAACAAUGAGUUAUGUGAUAUGUCAUUACCAAUAUUAUAUUUGUUGGUUGACCAAUUGGUCCCAUGUGGCAAUUUUAUCACUUGGUUAUUUGUGAAACCAACUUAUAAAACUACACCAUCAUUUAAAAAUAUGAUCAUUUAGAUCAUGCAUGAUAUUUAUUUUAUAUAUAUAUUCUUGAAUUUAAAGAAAAUGGUGUAAUGUAAUGUUAUGAUUAUGCACCAUUUUUUCACUAAGUUUUUAUCCUAUAAGGUUUUCCUAGUAAGGUUUCGAUGAGAAAUAUUCUCAUUUAAUUGUCAUCCAAGGAGGAGCGUUAUGCAAAUAUUGAUUAUAGAUGACAAUUGAUCAUAUUGAUGCAUACAUUAUACACACAAACUCCGGUGAGUUAAAAUCAUGGUCAAACAAGUGCGCUCAAGUGAUAACUUGACUGGUUUCUUUACCAAGGCUCUAUCUACAUCAAUUUUUAGGAAAGUCAUCAUCAUCGGGAGGAGUCGAUACGCGCUACACUUUUUUCCCUUAACCAUAAUUUUUCCCAUUGAGUUUUCCUGAUAAGAUUUUUAAUGAGGUGGCCUCAAAAGCGUAUUUCAAGAAUGAUAUAUAUUUUUAACCACUGGUCAUUCAAGGGAGGGUGUGAUAAAUAUUAAUAUUAUGUGUAAUGAAUGACCAUUGUGUAACUCCUAUAUGAAUGCCAUUCAUUGUCUUUCAUUUUUCCAUUCAAGUGCGAUGACAUAGUCAUAUAAGAGUUAUAUCUUGAGCUUAUCAAUAGUGUUCUAAACAUUGUAAAAGAUAAACAUCAACAAGAAUGAUUCUCCUCCCUUUUUUUAUUGUCUUUUUCUCGUUAAUUAGUUCUAUAACCCUUACGAGUAAAUGUAUUUUAGGUAAAGCUAGCUAGAACUUUCAAAUAAAGACAUUUGCUUGCAAAAUUGUUUUAUUUUGGGCUAUGGUUUUAAUGAAGACCACUCAAAUCUAAAGAGAAUCCCAACUACCAUAAUCUCAACCGUUAGUUAUGUUUAUGGUAUAUAUUAUUCAAAAUAAAAUAAAAAAAGGCACGAGUUGGUAAUAUAGCCUUGUUCCAUCUGGCCUAUAUUUAGGCACUCUACUUCAGAUGGCCGUCCUCACUCUUUGAAAUCCCAUUUGUCAUUCACCAACAGUACCUCCAAAAAAAAAUCUAUAGGAAUGAGGAAUAUAUCCUUCUAUAAUCUUAAUAAUCAUAUGAAUUGUGUAGUUUGUUGGCACGCUUGCUUUGUUGGGUUGUUCGAGAGAGAAUCUCGAACAUACCCUGGUAGCAUGUAAAUAAACAGAAGUAAUUAAUGAGAGGAAGAGAAUAUACAUAUAAGCGGUUGAUGUUUAAAAAGAGAUCGAUAUGAUUAGGAAAACUUACCGAGAAGAUCCGCAUAUAUUAUAUAGGCAUAUGUGAUAGGUGAUACAAAAUCAACGAUCUAAAAUAGUCUUCUUGUUUCAGAAUUAGGAUUCAUGUAUCAUGUGACAAUGCUAAUUAGCUGGAUCACCCGAACUGAUCCAAGCAACAACAUAAAUAGACUCUGAAAAUUAAACCUUAGUAUAUAUUGUUUCGGAUACCAUACCUUGAGAUCGAUGCUUAACAACUUAGCUAGUUGAUUUCAGAAUUUGGAAAACUGACUCGGAUUCAAUUUUAAUCGUCGGAACGGCUCAAGUUAUAGCACUAGGUGUCGUCGAGCCUGGACUAUCCGUAACAUAAAUACCCAACUUUCAGACUUAAUGAGAGUCAAACCCCAGCCGCUACCGUAGCUGUUGUAGUCGUAGCUUCUUUGAUCUCCUUUAUCUUUUCGAUUUUAUCUUGGAUUUUUGCUGUAAUGUUUCCUCGUGGCUUUCUUUUUCGGAGGGAAAAUUGCACUCUCGCCGAGAGUUCUCCUCAUCUUUGGAAACCCUAGCCGCAAUUGUCGAAGCCGUCGUCAUCAUGACUUCGCCACAACCAUCACGUCUGUCAAGAAAUAGUGCAGAUGCGAUCUUACAACUUCCGAUCCAAGAGAGACGGAAGUUAAAGCCAGGUUCUCGAAAUCACCCAGGAAACUCAGCUAAACCUCCACCUCCUCAUCCGCUACCGGUCUACCCCAAAGUUUGACUGUUUGUUCCGUCUAUUAGCUAGAAUUAUGAUAUGUCCUUUUAUUAUUGUAAUUUGCUGUUGGCACUUUUUCUAUUCCUCUUGUCGUUGCUGAUGAGUGAGGAACGAAGUUAUCGUUUUUGCGGGGACCUACGAUAAAUACAGUUCCGUUUGUUGAGUCUAUAUUUCCAGUGGGCAUGUUUUGUACGCUCGUUAUGGAACGUCUUUUGAAAUAAAAUAUCAAGUUUUAAUAUAAAAAAAAACAAUAAUCUUGACCACGACAUCUAAACAACUUCCAAUUGUCACAAAUUCCAAACUUUGUAGCACAUCUAUCAAACUUGCAUUUAUCAUAAGUUCAUUAACUAAUCAUUCUUUUUAGAGAAAAUACACAUUUAUACUCUUACAUUAUACAAAAUAUACAUCAACAUCCCUCUAUUAUAUUUUAAUUCAUUUAACUCCCAAACUUUAACAAAGUUUAUAAUCAAGCCCCCCCAUUAGAUUUUCGUUAAACAUCUCAAGCAGGUGUGUGCUGCUGACUAUAUUUUUCACUAAGGAAAAUUAACGAAUUUGAAUAAUUAUUAAGAGGAAGAUGAAACAGUAUUUUAUUUUUAAAAAGUAAAAUUUAACUNNNNNNNNUUUUAAAAAGUAAAAUUUAACUUUAAUUUUUAUUCAAAUUAAAUAAUUUUUCUUAGUGAUAAAUACAGUUAGCAGCUCACAUAAAUCUGAGUUGGUAUGUCACGUCAACAUAUUUAAUGAACAAGAAUAUAACGAAAGAACCUGUUUAUAAAUUUUAUUAAAGUUUAAAUGCUAAAUCGAUUAAAAUAUAAUAAAAAAAUGUCGUUGUAAACUUUACAUGAUAAAUAUUUAUUUUCCCUUCUUUUUAAUAAAACAAUUUCACCGCUAUUAUUAAUUAUUUAACGCGUUAACGUGUUAUUAGUUGGCGCCUUCCCACCCUCUGCUAUAUAUUUCCCCUUCUCUUCUUUCCUUCCUUUAGCAGGUGAAGAAAGAAAAAACACGAUUAUCAAUUUUUUUCUUCACCUCUCAAAACAUAGAAGAAAAAUUCCGCCAUUGUUUCCUUCCUUUGCAUUUGCUUAGCUCAAAGCCUCAAACUUUCCCUUCAUCUAGUACGGCCGGUGGCGGCAUCGACGGCGACGGUAACGACGGAGAAAAACAAGAAGAAACUUCAGAUCUAGAAAAGCCAGAGAUGCCAUCGUUAGAGGAGGAGCUUUUCCCAUCUACUCCGGGAAAAUUCAAGAUUGACCACCACCGUAGCCACCGCCAAUUCCACCGAUGCUUCUCCUCCACCAGCACGAUGUUCCUCUGGGCUCUGUUCCUCAUCGCCCUAACAGCAUCCUAUCUUAGCUUCCAGAGCUUCGUCGAUUCGGGAAGCCGCUACUUCUCCGCCUCAUGGGGCGGAAUCCAGUGGGAGAGGCAGGUUCGUAACUCCGCCCAGAUCCACCGGUCCGGGGGGAUGUCGGUGCUCGUCACCGGCGCCGCCGGAUUCGUCGGCACUCACGUCUCCUUAGCGUUGAAAAAGAGAGGAGACGGCGUGGUAGGGAUUGACAAUUUCAACAACUACUACGACCCGUCUUUGAAAGAAGCCCGUAAAUCGAUGGUGGAAGCCCAAGGAAUUUUCAUAGUCACCGGGGACAUAAACGACGCCAAGCUGCUGAAAAAACUAUUCGACGUCGUUCCGUUCACCCACGUGAUGCACCUGGCAGCCCAGGCCGGUGUUCGUUACGCGAUGGAGAAUCCUCAUUCUUAUGUGCAUUCCAACAUCGCCGGAUUGGUAACGCUCCUCGAGAUCUGCAAAUCAGCGGAUCCCCAGCCAGCUAUCGUAUGGGCAUCGUCCAGCUCCGUUUACGGGCUCAACGAGAAGGUUCCCUUUUCGGAAUCGGACCGAACCGAUCAGCCAGCGAGUCUGUACGCUGCGACAAAGAAGGCCGGUGAGGAAAUUACUCAUACUUAUAAUCACAUUUACGGGCUGUCGAUUACGGGGUUAAGAUUCUUUACGGUUUACGGGCCGUGGGGUCGACCGGACAUGGCAUACUUCUCGUUUACGAGGAAUAUUUUGCAAGGGAAGCCGAUUACAGUUUACCGGGGGAAGAACCGGGUCGAUUUGGCCCGGGAUUUCACCUACAUUGACGAUAUCGUGAAGGGGUGUUUGGGGUCGUUGGAUACUUCAGGAAAGAGUACCGGUUCCGGUGGGAAGAAGACUGGUCCAGCAAAGUACCGGAUUUUCAAUUUGGGGAAUACGUCGCCGGUGACGGUGCCGAAUUUGGUGGGGAUAUUGGAGAGGCAUUUGAAGGUGAAAGCGAAGAAGAAGCUUGUGGAUAUGCCUGGAAAUGGCGACGUUCCCUUUACUCACGCCAAUACUAGUUACGCGAGGAAGGAGUUCGGUUAUAAACCGACCACUGAUCUUCAAACCGGGUUGAAGAAGUUUGUCAAGUGGUAUCUUUCCUACUACGGCUAUAAUAACGGGAAAUCUGUAAAUUAAAAACGAGAUUUGGGGUUCUUUUUUUCUUUCUUUUUUUGUUGUUGUACUUUUAGAUGAACAAAAAACUAAGAUGAAAGAAGAAGGGAUUGACUGUCAAAAGUGAAGAAUAUCCCGAUUCUGCAAUGAUUUUACAGUUGGCUCAUUGUUACCAGCUUUCAUAAACUUUGACUAAGCUACAAUGGUGAAAAGAGAAAAAUAGUGACCACGUACAGCUCAGAUGUAUUGAUGCAACUUCAAUAUAAAAAAUUAAGCUCUCUAUGAAAUCAUAUUUCAAUUUGCACCUUUACAAUCUAUUUGGCUUUCCUUCUGGAUGCUACUUCCUUGGCCCAAGCUUUGCCUACAUCUGUCUGGAAUUUCCCUGCAAAUUACAUACAAAUGUAACAACACAUUGAAAUUUGAUUAGCCCUUGUGGGUUUUUAAUAGUUAGAUGCAGACGAACUGAAAGGAAGAAACUUUGCACAUACCAGCAGUGGACUGGAAGAACUCCUCCAAAUCUUUCCCUUGUUCUGCAUUACCCAGAUAAACCAGCCCAACUUUCAGUAAAACAGCUGAGAUCAGCUUUCUCUAAGUAACUAAUAUGGCUGUUUAUGGCCAAUCAGGCAGAUGGUAGGAAGAAAACACUCACCAUUUUCAUAUUCCAAAGCCUGAAGAAUCAUCUCCACCUAGAAAUGAACAAAAACAUGAAUGCAAAACAUAAACUGUUAGUUAUACGUGAUAUGGAUAAUAUGUUUGGAUGUCUCUACAUUACCAUUAAUAACCCUUUCACUUAACCUAUCAUCAUCGACAUAUAUCGCAUACACAAAGAUGAAAAAAUGAAGUACCUUGUCAAAGUCCUUCACUAAUUUGGCUUCUGGGGAAGAAUUAUCUUCAUACUCUUUCCACAACUGCUCUAUCUCCUUAGCUACAAAAAAUGCAUAAGAAAAUCCCCUCCAAACCAUAAAAGUUACAACUAGACACAGAAAGAACAAUCACAAGCAAAGGGAUUUGAUUCUACCUCUUGAUCCUCCACCUAACAACUUGCACAUAUGAUCCAACGCUUCAGCCUCUUUCCGGCUCUUCUCCUCCUUCGGCACUCCAUCUGAUGGGGUAAUGUCACCAACUAUAGCUGGUUGAAUGAAACAUCCCAUUUGUAAGAGAACAAUUCAUUAGCUUCUCAAGUUUCAAACCGCUAAUACUACUUAGCCUAAUCUUGACAGUAUCGAACAGCACAUAGAACAGGAAAGUUUAUUAGCUCCUCUGAUUUUGAGAACCUUCCAUUGUUGAUACUACUUAGUCUAAUAAUGAACAGAACAUUGGAGAAGAAAACUCAUUAGUAUCUCCAAUUUCAAACAUUCAGUCAUGAAAAAGAAAAACGCUAGGGAUCAUCUUGCUCAGCCCUUAAUACCUUUCCAAUAGGGUAGCAAAAUCAAGAAGAUCAUAUCACAGUUCAUUAUGCUUUGUCAACGAUUUCUGAUGAUUUCCUAUACAUGAACAUAUUAACAACUGACUUACCUUCAGCUAUGUCAUGAACAAUUGCCAUCUUCACACACCUGAAAGAAUCAACGAAACCAUACAUUUAACACACAGCAUUACAACUAGUAACCGACCAAGAUUGAAAUAAAGAAAAAGGGAGAAAUCCUAACUUGUCACGAUCGAUGCCAGGAAUAUCCGGCAAAAUCAAACCCAUCAAUCCCAUUCUGUACAUAUGAUCCGCUAUCGAUUCCGGAUCCCUAACAUCCCUCUUCACCCAUCCAGCCCUCUUCGUGGUCUGAAAAUUUACGAUUAAAACCAACAAUCAAAGCAGGAAAUCUACUUACUACUAGUGCUAAAUGGGAGAACUGGGUUUUGCUUUACCUUGAGGCGGUGGCAGAGGGAGAGGAAAUCAAUGGCUGAAGAAGGGGACGCGGCGGCGUUGGUGGCGUCGGAUGGAGUAGUCUCGGCGGUUGCCAUGCGGUGGUGAGUGCAGUGAGACGGGGAAGAGGAAGCGGCGAACGAGUUGAACCGGAAGCGGGUCGUGGGAGCAGAAAAGGAGGAGGAUGAGGUGAGGAAGAGGAGUGAGCUCGAUUUACAGAGCACUGCCGCUCGAGUUGCUAUGAUCCUCAUUUUCCCUUCUUUUUCGUAUAGUUUACUUUUUUUUCUACUUAAAAAACUAUUCAUAUUCAGCUAUUUUGCAGAAUUUUCGAAUGUCAUGAUAUUUAGAUCAUAAGAAAUAAUUAAUAUUUUUAAUAUCAUGAUAUUAGAUGAUAUAAAAUUUCCAAACAAAAAGUUCGUAUUAAAUUUAUUUUUAAAAAUGAUUAAAAUAUGAGGGUUUUUUCAUUAAUAACAUAUAUUCGAGAUUACAUGAUAUUAGAAGAAUAAAUACCAAAUAUUGUUAUAUUUUGAGGUUUCUUAUCCUUUUCACUUUGGUUAUACUUCAUGUGAUCAUUGGUUUUCCCCCCACAACACAAGGUACAAACCCGUUAUCGCCAUCGCAGCUCCGAUCAACCUAUAUAACACAAACUAACAGGCGUAAGUGUAACCCUAAGAAACAUUGUUUUGAAAACCUAACCGGACCGGUCGUCUGUGAACUGGAAUCUCGCCCGAUACCAAUUUAGCGGUUUGUGAGAUUGAUCAAAGUCGGGUGUUGAUCCGAUUUGACCGUAAAAUUUAGCCGGUUCAAUUGAAAUUAUUUGGCCGGUUGGACCAAAUUUUUAUUCCUAAACUUAUUUUUUUUAAAAGAUGAGAGUGGGAUUCGGACCCUGGGUGAAUAGUGAUUACUAGCUUUACAAAUAUCAUAAUUUGAUCAAAUCAUGCAUUUAACUGAUAAUAAUAAACAUUAUUAUAAUUAAUUAAUAUAAAAUGAAUAGCUUCUAAAUUAUAUAUUAAAUUUCAAUUAUUUGAUGAAUAAAAAGUUUUAAGUCGUUUAUAUAAUUUGUUAUCGAUAUGUCCAGUUUACCACUCCUUUAUGCCACUGCUAUAGAUAUUUUACGAGUCUGUUAUGUGUUUUUCCCCAGAGCACCAUAUAAAGCCUUAUUAUCACUGCUACACCUCCGAUCAACCUAUCCAACAACACAUAUCACGAUUUUAUUAAAGCUUGAUCAGAACCCAAUUGUGUUAAUAUUCAUAACUAAGCACGUAAGUUAGGACAAGCUAAGUUACCCUCCCAAGUAAGUUUGUUCUUGGAGGAAAAUUGCAGCAAAGAUUGCAGUAAUGACUGCGCAAAGAGGGUUGAAAAUUGCAGGGAAUACUGGGCCUCUCUCACCAACACACCAAGCUUGCCCCAAGAAAGACAGUGCCAAAGCUACUCCCUAGUUUAAACACAUGCAAUUUGUAAGAAAACAACACAUUAUCGUAACAGAAAAAAUGAUGAAAAGAUAAUCUAGAGCUUACCUCAUAUAAACAACAACCGAAUUGAAAGAUGGAAUUGAGUUUCCAAGACGAGUAAUCCUUAUCCAGGAACAAAGCUAUUGUCAUUGAUUGAAUGGUAGCCAGGAAGCACAACCAAGCUGAUGAGUAUAUCAGAUCAGGGCAUGUUGCCGCUAUUGGAACCUGUCCAUGAAAAUUUAAAGUUCAAAAGGGACGAGUAUUUUGAGAUGAUCACGUGUGUGAACAUUUUUCGUUAACGGAGGUCGAAUCGCCAGAAACUUGAAUGAAAGAGUUUUCGGUGACUGGAAAUAGUGGUGAAACUGUUGAGUUUUAGGCCAACAAAAUUAUUUUAAAUACUAUAUAAUCAUGUUAUCACUGAUUAAUUUAAGCCCUUAGAUCAUAUAAAGUUUUAAGGGCUAAUAUUAAUCUUGGAACGGUACGUAUUUUGACACGAAAUUCGGACUCAUCUUCCUAUGGCAUGCACUGCCGAUGGGGACCUAGCUAGGGGGAACUUUGUAAGGCUCUGCCACACAUCAUUGAUGCUAUAAGUAGAUUGAGAGAUAACAGUUGUGGAGUUAUAUUUCAGCUGCUCGAUCGUAUCACUUGGCUGGUAAAAGACAUAUAGUUGGGAACUUAGAGGACAGAGUUGAUUGUUGCUGGGGUUCAGUGGUCCAUGAUUUGUGGCCAUGGAGCAGCCAUGCAUGAAUCUGAGUCGAGUUUUGAUUUUGGUACGAAACAAAAAGGCUAAGCAGAACUCAGUCUAUUCCAAGUACGUACCAUAAGCCUUGGCUGAUAAUGAGAGAUUGAAAUCCUGACAGUAGUAUUUAUGAAUAUUGUUUUCUCCGAAAUGAUUUGUUUUACAGACUCUGGAAUGACCAAGGUCCUUCAAUCUUUUACAUUAGAACCUAGCCGUGGGUGGGAGCUUGGCUUUUGUUCAGUCAACCUGUGGCUUGACUCUUUAAGCUACUCUCUCGUACACUAAUGAUACCAAAGAGGAAAAUCUUCAGCGUCGUUCUUGUAUUUAUGAAGCUCAUCAGCUUCUGAAACGCAGAUGAAACGCAGAUGGAGUGUGCGCUUAUUGAAUACUAGAUAAUUUUCGAAGGGAGAAUUACGGUAGCAAAAAUAAACAACAUUAAGUAUCAUCUCAAAUUGUUAUAUCAGUCUUCAUUUGGUUUUGGAGAUAUGAAAGAGCAUGUCUUGCAAGUUGAUGGACAACUUUGUUGGCCCUCGCCGGAUCAUUUGCAUCUGCAAAUGCAGGCACGCCGCUAGAAAGGCGAAAAUCUCAGCAAACACUGUGCCACUAGCAACAAACCGAGUGUAUCGCUGAGAGAGUUUGGAGAGGACCAUCUCCACGUCGCCUUCGAUGUCAACCUGCCACACCUCAUGACCAAAGCACCACGUGCAAGCAUCGCGGACGGCCAGUAGUUCUAGGACAUAAGGAUCAAGAAGUUUUGGAUACGUCCGUCCAACCCCGUGUAAAAGGUCGUCACCCGCAUUUCUAAUCACUAGACCCACCGCACUGCCAGUCGGAUCAGCCACCGCACCAUCCACAUUGAUUUUAAUGAUAGGAGAGAGUGCGCUUAUCAAAUACCUUUAGAGAGGGAAAUCAGGUCGCAAACCUGCUUGCUCAUCAAGAGCAUUUCGCUCUGUUUUGGCCUUCACCAGUUUUGGACCCUCCCUCGUGAGGUUUCUUAUUGUAUCAAUAUUGAUAUCCUGGGAGUUACAGUCCCCUGAAUUUGUUUCUAUAAUUUUUUUGACGUAAAAGGUCAAAGUCAUUAAUGAAUUGUCGAGAAACAUAAGGUCGAAAUCUUGUCGACAAGCCAGUUCGGAGGUAUAUCACCCGAAAACAGAGACGUAUGGAACGUGAAUUGUCUAGCUAAUAAAAUAAAACUCAUAAUCCCAUGCUCAUAACAAAGAGCAGCACUUUCGCACAAUUUCACCAAACUCAGUUUCAUCGUCACCCUGCUGCGUGAUAGCCGAUCAGAGUACUUGUGAGUCGCCUUUGAAUAUGACAUUGGAAACCUGCAACCCAAUUGCCCACUGGAGAGCUUCAAGAAGUGCCAAAGCCUCUCCAUCCUUCGCCGGUAGUAGCCCCAUUCUUCAUUGCAUGCGAAAAUGCAGCAGAGUACCUCGAUGAUCCCUGAUAACCAUAGAUCUACCAGUAAUUCUUAAUCGAGUUUCUGGCUUAAGCUAACAAACACAUCGGCGGUUACCAGAAAUUUGAACUCAGGCAGUCGGCGAACAAAAGGCUUGAACUCAUCGGAAGUCUUGGUUGGUAGGGACAGAAAUCCAAUCAGCAGAUUCAAAAUGUAGAUCCCGAGCCAGUAGGAGACGACUUAAAACCCUUGGACAGUGGACAUAGUAAAUCCGCUAGACGUAGAGAAUCGCCACCGAAAGGGUUCCUAGCCACCCGAGCAUCGGCUGAGGCACCGAUUUGUCGAGAUAGUGCUGGAACACCCCGGAGAAGUCGCUGCUCCACUUGACGAGCUGGGGGACGCCUUCACUUCCCGGUUCCGCCAUGGAUUCUAAUCUGAAGAGGUCGUGGCAAGGGUUUCAAAGAUGAAGAAGUAGCAAAUGGUAAGUUAGCUGGUUGCGCAAGUUAAACUGUAAUACAAUUAGGUUAUUUAAUGCCAACAUUACAUUUUUUAUUAUUUAAAAUCAAAACAACCAAUGAAAUAUCGCUAUAUAGUAUUUAUAUCGGAUACAAAUUUUCACCGAAAUAUUAUCCUUAAAGAGCGGGUCCGCCCUUUUUAUCAACAAACAGAACAUAGCGGACCGCCCAAGUUAUAACUUAUGUUACAAUCAGUAGUACAAUAAUCACUAAACGACAAAAUAUGAAGUAAACAGAUACAAAGUCAGUGAUGUGUAUAUCUAACUCCUCCUCCACGUCUCAUGUGUAUACUGUUCGAAGCAGAAAGUGUGAUAUGUAUUCAUCAAUGAAGUUGGGCAGCUUUCAAUUGAUUUAAUUACAUACAUUGCUAUCUCCAAUGGUAUUAUUGUUAUGUUUAGAUAUUAUAUAUUGAUAGUGACGGUGUGGGAUGAUCUGCUUGCCCCGAUAUUUUCAAGGUACGGAUACCCCUUAUGUGGUUGUCACUUAACCACAUUUUGAAACGUUACGUUUCGUCUGUUGGUUACUUAUGCAAAGCCUUUAAGGACAAAAUUGAUAAUCUCGUCAGUUGGUUAUGGAAAAAAUGAUAUUUGAUUUCAUUUUUUUCAAAUAAUUAUUCGGUGUAACAGGUGAUAUCUGCAAACUAAUCUGAUUACUCAUUUUAGUGGUAAAUGGAUCUGAUUUAAAAAAAAAAUAGUUAAGUUAUGAUUAGAAAAUAAACAAAUUACACAUUUUUUAAGGUAAAUAAAAUCAUAUAAUAUUUUUGCAUUGCUUUUGUUUUUAUGGUUAUAAUCAGGAUUCACCAUCACAAUUCACGAUUAGUAACAUGUCAUGAAUAUGUGCCAAAAGAAAAUUGGAGAAAUAACGGGAAGCGUAUGUAAUCAUGCAUAGCAUGAUUGUAAAAAAUGAGCGAAAUUUAUAUAUAUGUCAUUUUGAUUAUACAGAUUAUGAAAUGAAGUUUACAUAUCCAUGCCCAUCUUUUAGAAUAUGAACAAUAUUUCCGAAAUCAUUUGAAAAUUCGUGAUAAGUCCAAAAGUCAUUAUCUUCAAACAGUUUUAAUUGAAGAGAUUUGGAGCCAGUUUGGAUCUAUAUUUUGGAUACCUAGUUCGAUUGCCAUCCUCAAAAAUUAUGAAAUCUUAAGUUUUUCCUCAAGCACUCUUUCUUAUGAGCUACCCACUAACUCCAGCUCGAAACUACAAAAUUUGAGCCGGUUGGAAUGACGUGGCUACUACCAUGUGUGCGGGUAGUAGUGACUUAUCUAGCCAACAAAGUAAACUAAAAAAAGUUUUGGAGGACGAUUAUUGAGAUAAAUAUAUUGCAUUAAGAUCCGAAAAAGGAUUACAAUAUUAUAAACAAUACAUAUUGGAUUAUUUUGUACAUAACUCAAAUAUAAAGGACCAUUUCGAUCAAUUAGCCGGGCCAUCGAUAUGGUCAUUUUUAAAGUUAAAAGUCAAUAUAAGGAAUGAGACUCCAACAAAAUGUCCAUGUCUACAUAUCCACCAUCAUCUUCUCAUCCUCGAUUCACUCAAACUUGAACUAUGGUCGGCAUAUUACAAGUCAACAUACGACAACUGAAAACUCAACGCGUAAACAAAUUAAUGUUAGAAGGUAGAUAUGCAAUGGAACGCUAGUAAUGUCUGUAAAAGUGUCCAGGGAAGCCAUCUGGGUCGGGGGGAUUGCUUACCACCAAGUCCAAAGACUACCUGUUUGAUUUCCUCGUCAGACAUCUCACGUCACAAAUCAACAUUGAUAGCAUCAGAGGCGCCUUUCGGAAAGCUGCUGAGAUCGGGAAUGUCGCGAUAGUCGAGGAGAUGUUCCACCUAAAUGCAUGGUUGUUAAGAGUAAUGGGAGUAAUGGUAUCUAUUUGCAAUAGUUUCCAAAUACAUAUACGACACUGAUUCCUGGAAACCAUAACUGGACAGACAGUUAUAGGAUCCGGUAACUCAUGCAGCACCAAAAGGUUAAUAUGCCAACUUCUACGCGAUUUUCAAGCAAAGUUUUUUAAAAUUUAUUUUGAGGAACAUUCAUUGAUGGAGCCGACAAGGAGGAAUUGAAAGCAAUAGCUAUUGAAUAGUGGGAGGCAGAGGAAAUGGGAAGUGAGCAAAGGGAGGCAGCUACGAUCCGAAUUCCCAACCAUAUUACCCUCACUCAUUUAAGGCAUUGCCAGGUUGAAAUCUUUGCCAUCAUUCACACCUACGGCACUCCCAGCUGUGCCUCUUCCACCGGUAAACCUUAGACAAGGAAGUUAACACGUCUUUCAACUAAAACUUCCCAACUGCCUUCUCCUCCCCCUCUUCACCGAGUCGUACUCCAUAUGUACCAAUUCAACUGCGCGUGUAUCAUAUGGCAGAGCCCGUGUUCAACUUGCAACUCAACCGUGUAUCCAUCCCAUUAGCGGAAUCCGAAUGGAUUGCGACCUUGGGAAAAUUUCUAAGUUUGGAGUAGGUUUGACAGCAUAGUGGGUAUUCAUUACGGAAAAACAUGAUGGGUAUCAUGAACCAUUGUAUACCAAUAAUUUGAGUAAUUGACUUGUUGGAAGAAGGUUAAUCAUGAAUUUUAAACUAUUUUUGUAUAUUUCCCCUCAAAUAAAAGUAAACCGACGGAUUUAAAGUUUCCACAAGCCUACUAUACCUUGUGCUUUCAAAUCAACUGUUAAUAUUAUUGGGGUCUUGGAGAUUAAAACACAUGAUCAUUUGGUCUAAAGAAUUCGAUACCAUAUCACGAACCGUUACAUCCCAAUAACUCGAUUGUUGGGAGAAGGUUAAUUAUGUAUUUUAUACUAUUCUCUAACAAUGGGUAAAAUUCAAACUUUGGAACCGAGGGACCCAAAUUCCGCCAUUGUGUCUAUCGAUAAUCAGUUUAAAAGGAAAAACAAAGAGUAUUCAUAUAUAGUGAUAAAUUAAAUUAUUUUGAAAGGGUCUGUCCAUAAAAGUUGUUCUAUUUCUAUUAGAGGUGUGCACUCUUGUACAUUGGGGUACGAUACUUCCUACAUGGGUGGUAUCUAGACACCACAUUGUUGAUGUCAGCAUCCACGUAGGGGUACCUAUACCCUUAUGAUAUCAGACACGCUAGUACUUCUGUGGUACGGAAACCCCUACAUGCCUAUCACCUAGAGACUAACGAGACACUACAUCGUUGAUGUCCCUACAUGAGUAAACUCCCUUCUACAAUAAGGUGAUUUAACUUUCUCUCAUGAAACGAAAAAUAAUGUUACACAAAAGUACUACGAGACUGGUGUAGUUUAUUGAUAGGAGGGGGUGGUAGCACAGCAAUGACAUUAACUCUGGACUUGCCAAAUCUAUAUUGGACUUGUAUUCUUGUAGAGCUAUAUAAGUAGGUAGAUUGAAUAUCAACAGCCUCUCACAACUCUCACAAUUUCCUCAACUUGGUUUUGCUUUCUACUCUCCACUCCGACUACUCUCUCUCUCUUACUCCAGAUUUCUGUUGUUUAGUGGGGAAAAGGGAAAUUUAAGGUUGCUUUCGCAUUUCUUUCUGUUUUUGGGGGCUCUCUCUGAGUAAAAACAGAGCAACUAUACUAUGGCUGCUGCUUUGUCUGACUGGCCAUGGGAGAACCUUGGAGUGUACAAGGUAACAACAAUACAGUUACAAAAGCUCCAAACGUUUCAGUUGAUUCUUUGACAAAAUUUGAUUUGCUCAUGUGGGUUUUUUGUUGUUCCUGUUGUUGUUUUGUCCGUGUGAAGUAUUUGCUGUAUGGACCUGUGCUGGGGAAAGUAGUGUACUCGAGAUAUCAAGGUGGGUACUUGAAGCAAGAUUGGUGUUUUUACUUGGUAAUCAUUUGGUACCUCAGGAUGUGUGUCCACAUACUGUGGAGCACUUUUGUCAAUAUGCUCUUCUUCACCAAAAGCCUCAGGAUCAACAAACAUGGCUAUGAUUUCAAGCAGAUUGAUAAAGAAUGGGAUUGGUAAGUUCCUUACUUAACUCUCCCUUGAAUAACUCGUUUGUUGGAGCAGUACUUACUUAUUGUGCUGAGUACUGGUUUCCUAUUUGAUUAAUUUCAGGGACAAUUUCCUGAUCCUGCAAUCAAUGAUUGCAUCAGUGACAUGUUUGAUGUUUCCAUCUUUCUUGGAACUUCCUGUAUGGAACACAAAAGGAGUGGUCUGCAUUUUGGUGCUACAUGUAUUAAUCUCAGAGCCACUUUACUAUUGGGUUCAUAGAUGCUUCCACAAAACCUCCUUGUUCACCAAUUACCAUUCAAUUCACCACUCAUCCGCAGUUCUCCAUCCUUACACAGGUAACUAAUCUCAUCAUCUCCAAAUUCUACUACACUCAGAUCAUGAUUGAGUUUGCUUGAUCUGAUUGAAUUUCGCUUUUUCGACAGGAUCGCAUUUGUCAUUUCUGGAGCAUCUGGUGCAAGCAACAAUCAUUGGGAUCCCAAUAUUUGGAUCUGCAAUUCUUGGAUAUGGAUCGUUGGUUCCAAUGGUUGGCUAUGUUUUGGUGUUUGAUUUCCUGAGGUGUAUGGUCCAUUCCAACACUGAAGUUAUUCCUCACCAGCUCUUCCAGACUCUCCCAUUCCUCAAAUACCUCAUUUCAACACCAACGUAAGUCAAAAACAUUAUUAAUUGUUUUUGUUGAUAGCUACUAUACUUCCUUUCUUUACUGUUUCCCUCUCUAUGAAAUCACAAUUUUGUGACAUAAAAUCUCAGAGAAAAACCUAUAAAUUAGGCACUACUAGUUGAAGUUGUCCAUAUAGAAUUAUUAAGAAGAUGAUAGGGGGUCGACCUGUCAAAUCAGGACUGGGCACGGUCCCAUUUCUGGCUAAAAAUAUGCCAUCUACCACCUUGCAGUAGUUAUGCUGCCACUGUUUAUUAAUGCUUCCACGCUCUCACACCUCUGUAAAAGUUCCAACUUCCGUUAAACAGGUUGUAGUCGAGUGGUUGUAGCAUCUCAUUUUGUUCCCAGAGAUCCUGAGUUUGAAGUCCGGAAUGCACAAUCAUUCCAGCACCUCUGUGAUGACAUUGGUCUCACCUGAGUUGACAGCCGACAACUCCGUAGUUUACCUAACGACGGCAACACUCAAUGUGGUGCACGUCCAAAGGGUUUUUCGUGUAAAAAAAUAAAAGUUCCAACUCUUUUUCCUGAAUUCAUGCUGCUCAACUCUAUAUAUCUACAGUAAAAUUGACCAAGCUCUGUCUCUUUAUUUUUUACAGGUAUAAUAGUCUGCAUCAUGCUGAAAUGGGAACCAAUUUCUGCCUGUUUAUGCCAAUCUUUGAUGCAAUUUGGAAGACCCUUAACAGCAAUUCAUGGGAGCUUCACAAGAAGCAGCGUGCAAAAGCAGGUACGUAACUUAUAAGCACAUUUCUCAACUUGGUUCAAAUAAAUGCACCCUUUUCCCGGACUUUAGUAUCUGGUACAGCUAUUUUUAGGCCACUUGAUUCUGCCCCUUUUCCUCUACUUUCCGUAGGGACCAUUUCCAAAAAGAUGAUAACUUUUUUUAACAUUGAUCAUGGAUUACAAUUGGUAACCAACUCGUCACAGCCAAUCCAACAACAGAAUUGUAACUGGUUUUGUCUGGUGUUCUCAGGGAAGUAUGGCAGAGUUGCUGACUUCGUGUUCUUGGCACACGUUGUCGAUUUAUCUUCUUCAAUGCAUUCGCCCUACGUUUUCCGGACAGUUUCUUCGUUGCCGUACAAGUUCCGAGCAUUCUUGAUCCCUUACUGGCCAACAACUUUCAUGGUGAUGCUAAUGAUGUGGGCUAAAGCCAGGGUAUUCAUCCAAUCCUUCUACACCCUCAGGGGCAAGCUUCACGAGACUUGGGUUGUCCCUAGGUUUGGUUUCCAGGUACCGUCAUGGUUCCAACUUUACCUUAAUCAUUACAUUUGGAACAAAACAGUAGUAAUAACUAAUUAUAACAUGUUAUUUUGCAGUACUUCUUGCCAUUUGCCAAGGAAGGAAUCAAUAAAAGAAUUGAUGAGGCGAUUCUCAAAGCUGAUAGACUUGGAGUUAAGGUCCUGAGUCUUGCUGCACUCAAUAAGGUUAGCCAUUGAUUUAUUGUACCAAGAAAAUAAAUUAUGAGUUGGAAGGAAGGCAUUAAUGGUUCAUAUCUAUCUAUCAACCAAUGUCAUCUUCUACUAUUGAAUACUGCAACAUUGGAAUGGGGGUCCAUAAACUGUUUUGGAUAUUUAUUAUCCCAUAUUCUGGAUUAAAUUUUCAGUUAGUGUUAGUCAAAUGUAAAUUGACAUGUAACUGAUUAUUGCAGAAUGAAGCUCUGAAUGGAGGUGGAACGUUGUUUGUAAACAAGCAUCCUGAUCUUCGAGUCCGAAUCGUCCAUGGCAACACGUUGACUGCAGCAGUGAUUCUUAACGAGAUUGGAGAUGAAAUUGAAGAAGUCUUCCUAACAGGAGCUACUUCCAAGCUUGGAAGAGCAAUUGCUCUUUACCUUUGUAGGCGUAGAGUUCGAGUUCUCGUACGUUUUCCUUGAAACCAUUUUCAUCUAACUAGGAUCGAUGAUCGGUACACUAAUUAGUAACGCGAUAUACAGAUGCUGACGCUAUCUACCGAGAGAUUUCAGAAGAUUCAGAAAGAAGCACCAGUGGAAUGCCAGAGUUACUUGGUGCAAGUUACUAAGUAUCAGGCUGCUAGAAAUUGCAAGGUGAGGAGAACAUUUUUUUGCUUAAUGCAUUUUGAGGUCACUAUUGUUUGUUUUUUUGACAUUUUUGCCCUUUUUAAAAUUGGGCUGGUAAUAGACAUGGAUAGUGGGCAAGUGGAUCACACCAAGAGAGCAAAAUUGGGCCCCUUCAGGAGCCCAUUUCCAUCAGUUUGUUGUCCCGCCCAUUUUGGCAUUCAGGAAGGAUUGCACCUAUGGGGACCUUGCUGCCAUGAGAUUGCCUCAUGAUGUUGAAGGUCUUGGAUGUUGUGAGGUAAGAGACCCUUUAGUAAUCACCAUCACUAUCUUAAUAAACUCUCAGCUUUGAUUCAUAACUUGUUAUACACUUUCGACAUGAUUCAGUACACGAUGGACCGCGGAGUGGUGCACGCGUGCCACGCGGGAGGGGUGGUGCACUUCCUAGAAGGGUGGAAGCACCACGAAGUUGGAGCGAUAGAUGUCGACAGGAUUGAUCUUGUGUGGAAUGCUGCAAUGAAGCAUGGAUUGAAGCCUGUCUCCAACAUGAACAAAUCGAAACAAACAUAGAUUAUUAAUUAUAAUGAUGUAUUGCUUCUAAUUUUUAGUGUAUUAUAGUAGCAUAAAAUGCAAUCAAAAUUUGCAGGGAUUGACAUUAAAGCAUAAAAUGCUGUGUUCUACAGAGAUGAAUGAAUGGAAAGGAAUGAGUAAACAGAAAGUCUUCUAUCUAGUUGUUCUUUGCAAAUACUGGUUGGGGAAGUUCAAUUCAUGUUGUAAUGUUGUGUAAUCUCGUCUAGUCGUUAGACCAUUAAUUUGACAAGAUUAUAAGCUUCAACUUAACGAUGAGCCUACCAUUCAAUUGAAUCAUCAACUUGGCAGCAACACAGAGUAUGUCCCUGAAACCUCUCGUUGGUCGAUUCGCUAGCGACCGGAAAUGCUCUGCUUCAACGAUGAAACACCAUGUUACUCGUCUAUGAAAAUUGUCUGCGGAACACUUCCCAACCCAACCCCUCACAAUCCACUUGCGCCGUACCGAUACACUCACCACCCGGUUUCUGACCCGGCCCAAUCCCCUAUUCAAAACUUAAGAGGUUUACUUCAGAUUUCCUCCCUCAAUUUUAGAAAAAAACACCUUCAAUACCCCAAAUAUUUAUAGUCUUUCUUCUUCUUCUUCUCAUUUAUUUUUUUGUGUUUAUGUUGGUCGCUUUAAUUUGCUCAAGUGCGGUUUGAUUCGGCUUUUGAUUGUUUUAUCCUGGGAGAAAAACGUUAUUGUGUAGGACGAAUCUAGUUUAAGAAAAUUGUAUAAGACUUCAAUUUUAAUUUGUUUAUGUUUAUUCUAAUCAACGUUAUUUUGUCCAACGUACACUAGCAUGAUGUACCAUGAUUAGUGUGAUGUGAUGAAGGUGAUUAGAACCACUAUGACGCUCAACGGUUGUAAUGAGUCUUGAGAUGAAACCCUAGGCGACCUUCCUAGCCUUGACAUUGACCCCUGGUUGGGCCUUUAAGAUUAGGUGACGCUCUCUCCGCCAAAUUCAAGUCAUCGCUUGACAAACGGCUAAGAUGAUGUGGGUUGGUUAUCAAGAGAAUGACCAUGACCACUUGAGUGUUCUGGCUAUCCAAACCUGAAGCCUAUCUAUCAAUAAUGGCUCGGGUUGGGGCCUAUCAGUAGCUACCUAGGGGCCGUUUGGAGAAGGUCAUGACAAACGAAUUGUGAGAUUCCAUGCCCUGAAAUUGAUCCUGUGUUUAUCCCGAUCAAUUAAGUUGAGAGCAGUUUUAAACCCAAACCCAAACUCAAACACUAAACCCAAAUUCAAAACGAAACAAAUAUAAAAUGAUGUUGAAAAGACUUCUGUACCCUUUUUAUUCAGACCGUUAGAUCUAAAAUCCUUGAGAUCUAACGGUCCAUGAACGUCCUAAAAAUUUCAAAAUCCUUUUUCGUCUGGAUUCCAAACCUGCUCCGAUCUAAGUUGAAUCAAGAGUUCACCCACCCGGCUGUAAUCAUUCAAAGAACACAAGAAAUGACUUUUAUGCAAGGAAUGAAUUGUGUGGGACCCAUUGUACCACCCGUCGCACCAAUGAACAUGUUCCCUCUUUUAUCCAUCUCCCUCCCAAAAUCAACGUCCACUCAAAGCAUUACAUNNNNNNNNNNNNNNNNNNNNNNNNNUAAUUGAUGACGUAGUGCCAUGCCAGGACAUCAUAUUAUUAUUAUUAUUAUUAUUAUUAUUAUUAUUAUUAUUAUAUAAUGUAUAAAUUCAUUAGUACUAGUGUGGGCCUUAUUAUUACGGUUUAAGAUGUGUGAACAUCAAUCUUCCUCGCGAAACAUAGCCCCUAAUAAUAACAGGAUAUUAUUCUGUCAUUUAACAUAACAUCAAGAACCGAAAGUGAUGGAUUGUGAGUCAUGACUAUUAUCAUUAUUCUUUUAUUUUUAUGGAUACAAUAGGAGUCCAGAUUUCGAGUCGGAAAAUGGCUUUUAGAUCUGGUUUACAAAAGCCUGCUCAAAAUUAUGUCUUAGAUCUAGCGGCUGAAAAUACAGGGUAGAAUUGACAUUUUAUAGCCAUGCAAAUGUAUAUAGUAAGUGUUGUAUACAAAUAUGUGUAUGAUACUUAGUAUAGUGCAUAGUAUUACACUUAGUAUGAAAACCAUACAAAUAUACAUACACUUUUUUACAAGUUUGUACAAACCUAUACACACUUGUAUGAUCCGUACAACUCUUGGUACAAAGUUGUUCAACCGGUCUUGGAAAAUAUUUUCAAAAAUAAUAAUUUUUCCAUAAACGCGGAAAUGGUCAUGUGGAUGCUACACUUUUCGUCAACAGGGUCGGAAUCACCGAGAAGCUGAUCAGGAAACUUUCCGAUGUUCAUAGACGACCGGCAAUUAAACAAACAAACAUAUUUAAAACAGCAUGACCAUAUUACCCCUAAUUAAUCGAAACCCUUAGAACAUGUGGAGAUCUACGGGCCCCGAUUGUUCGUGGGUCGUAUCAUGCAAAACUAAUUAUUAUCCAUAUAUAUAUAUAUAUGUCAUGUGCUAAUGACAUACAGCCAUCCAUCAAUUAAUUGGUGGUUGAUUGGUAUUGGUCACUCACUCGAGUUUCAGUGAACGUAGAGAGUCAACUAAACCAAGCAAGAAACGAGAAAAUAUUUAUUAAAUAAUUUAUUGCCAUUAUAUGAAACAUCCACGUUCACGGGGGGGCAUCCGUAACAAAUCAAAGUUAGGAAACAAUUGUUUCAGUCAACUACAAAUAUUUGGGUCCUGGACAUAGACACCCUUGAUUCCACUCCACAUAAAUCUCACUUGAUUCCAGAAAUCCGCACAUAUAUAAUCGAUGUCUAAUUACUUGAUUAUUAGAUUUAUAUUGACCGCAUUAAAGCGGUUCGAGUGACAAUCUGAUGUGACCAAGCUCGAGUUUUUCGUUGAUAAAAUUUUUUAUCAACAUGUUUUGUGCAAACCCCUAAACAUUAAAAUUCUACGUGCAUGAUCAUCAUUUUUAGCCCUAUUUUUCUAGUAAGACAAUUUAUAAUGAGUUUUUUGUGAUUUGAAAAGUUUAUAAUUAAAUUUAUAGUCGAAGAUUAGUUUCCAAUUCUUGGACCAUUGACAAAAAACAAUGAAUUUUUUAGAAACCCCUUCAUGGAUAUCAUUCGGGAUAGAGUAUAGGGUGGAAAGAAAAAAGUACAAAGUAGAAUUUUAUUGCAUAGUUUGCAUAGUUAAAAUUUUGUGUUUAGGAAUUUAAUAUUAACUAUUGAGAUUUGAUAUAUUAAUGUGCAUGGUACAUUCAAUACUAAAUUUUAAAUUUUAAAUAUUUCAUAUUCAACUCUAAACUCUAAAAGAUAAUGUUAAACCCCUAAAUGCUAAAUUCUAACCCUUAAAUAUUUUAUUCUAAAAUUAAAUUCUUAAUCGUACUUCACUCUGACUUUUGACCAUAAAUAUAAAUUAAUCAAUCAUAAAUAUUUUAUUUAGACUCUAAACACUAACCACUAUAUUUUCAUAAACUCUAAACACUAAAAAAAACCUUAAAACUCUUAAUUUUAAACAUAGUAUAUAACAAAAAUAUAAUAAAAUAUCGUGUACACUAAUACACUAAUUAAGAUUGUUUACUUACAAAUUUAAAUUAAUAAAAGUGUAAAUUAAAUUGUACCCAUAUUUGAGGUAUCAAAGCGCUUUCUAUAUAAUGUACAAAAAAAUUAUGAAAAUAAAAGUAAAUAAAAAAAGAAGGUGAAAGUCAGGGGCAAUAGAACAAAGGAGUAUAUAUUUUCGGUGGUGGGACAUGUUCAGCCAUGUGCAUGCAUGUGCUGUGUCUUUCUCCCACACUCAUUUGGGCCCUACCUCCUCCUCCUCUUCUUCUUCUUCUCCUUCUUCUUCUUCUCCUUCUUCUUCUUCUUCGCCAAUCGCCCUUCCCCUCCUGCAAAUAAAUUAAGCCCCCUGCUACUCUUUCCUUUUCUUUCUUGGAUCUGCAGACCCUCGACAUUUAUUAUUACUAUUAUAAAUUACAGCAGCUCCCUCAGUUCACCAAAACAAGGCAGAAGCAGAGAUAAAGAUAUUCUUCAUUCUUCUUGGGCACUACGUACGUAUGUUGUUUCUGCACUAAGUAUCCUCCCUCUCCUCAACCCUACGUACCCUCCAUUCAUAUAAUCAGGUAGGUAAUUAAUUAAGCUUGCGUCGUCUCUCAUUAAACCCUACAUGCUUGUAUAUUAUACAGUCUUCUUAAUCGCUCUCCCUUCUCCCUGCUGCUCCUCUUUCUAUUUCAUGAUUAUAAGAACAAUGCUAGCUAGCUUUUUCUUAAGAUGAUAUCACUCCAAAUCAAAAUUUCAUUGAUUAUUCUUUAUAUAUAUAUGAGGAGAUCAAAUUCUCAUGUAAAAUCUGCAAAUUCAAACAACUUUGCCAAAAAAAAUAUUCAAUUAAUUUCUAAAAUUUAAAUUGAUUACUAAUCAUAUAUGUAACUGUUUGCAUCAUAAUUAUUCGAGUUGUUGGGAAAGGGUUCGGUUUGAUAGUUAUAUUAUUCAUAUUAACACGCCCACCUCAAACAGAAACUCUCAAAAGAGCUGAGGUUUGCACAGUUUCAUUAUGUAAAUCAGGUUCACGGAAUGGGGGCUACCUGAUACGAAACGAAAAUCUUUCAGUCUUUUUUAUGUUUUGAUAUCAUGUCAAGAACUAUUGGGGGAGGGUUCUGAUUGAUAAAAUAUAUUAUUUAUUAACGAUAACAACAAUUUUCGGAGAGAAAAAAAUGAUUACUCUUAUUGUGAAUUUCGAUACUCGUGUAACAUUUUUAUGGGCAUCAAUUAUAAAAAAAAAUCUCUAUGGACAUGUUUGUCAAAGUUUUUAAGAAUCAAUCAUAACAGUGAACGUACUUUAUAACAACAAAUGUAAAUAAUUAAUUAACAGAGUAUUUUUGUGUCUAGGCUUAAUUUACAGUUUUGAGGGGUAGGAAUGCGUUCUCCAACCUCAUUGAAGCGAGAAUUCCUAAAGAAAUGGAUACUAGCUCUUCAACUAUGUAACCGCACCAACAAGUCGAAAAGUAGUAGUACUGUCACGGAGAGGAAGAAGACGAUCAAACUAUCAGCCGAAAUAGCAAUGGCCACGGCAAGAAACGGCGCCACGUGUUGGAGCCGCGCAAUCAUCGCCAAUGCGGCCAAGUCGGAGGAGGCCAAACCCUUCCUCAGCCUCCUCGUCGGCACGCAACAACAGCAGCAGUGUGCUGCGAGUUCCGGGGCCGGAAGGCCGAAGAAGAAGCGGAUGGUGACGACGAGGUGCAAGAAGAUAGUAAAGAGGAGCUGCCGGAGAAGAAGCAUUAACGUGGUGGCGGCGGCGGCUCCGGAAAAGGUGGCGAAAUGGAUGGCAAAGAGGAGGAGGAAGAAGUCGACGGAGGUGCUGAAGAGGAUAGUGCCAGGAGGGGAGUUGAUUGGCGAUGACGUGGCGUUGAUUCUUGAAACCCUAGACUACAUGGUGUCACUCCGAGCUCAGGUCCAAGUUAUGAGAUGUCUUGUUCGAGCUGCAGCUGGCUCUGGUUUUCAGGAUAUUGUUUGAUCCAGACGUCAAAGCACAAGGGUAUUUGUGUCAUAUAGAUAUAUUGUAAUAUGUAACUAUAUUAUAUACGUACGUACGUUAAGGGUUAUAUUAUAUAUAUUUCAAAUACAUAUUUUUAUACUCAUCCUUACAUACCCAUGUAAGGAUGAGAUGGUUAUUUGCGGACUAUUAGAUCAUUUUAACAAGAAAUCGCUAGUCCGAGUCCGGUUGGCCUAAUGUCAUAUAACAUUUUGAGAAAACCAUAAUGCAUAAUGUCAUAUACAUGUAUAUUUUAACUCAAUAUUAGGUUUAAAUAAUAUAAUUUUUAUUCAAAUCCGACUCCAUGCAUGUUUCCACGAUACUAAUUCGGCACAACUCUCCAUAAAGCGGUCUAGUAUGUCAUUAAAAUUGGUAACCAACUAAUGUGAUUCAAGUCUCAAUCGUGUGAAAAUCGAGUUCCUCCAAAUAAAACUAAUGCCGAAUAGGGGACUAGUGACUUAGCUUGACAGAUAGCUUUCAAUAAGUAUAGUAUAGGAGGAACAUGGUCGUCAGUUGAAUUCUUUUUAUAGCUAGAGGAGAGGGGGGGUUGUGUGAGUGAAUUAUUGAGUAUAUUAUAGGUGGUGGUGGUGGCG